GCUUGUCUCAAAGAUUAAGCCAUGCAUGUCUUAGUGUAAAUAACUCUUAUGAAACUGCGAAUGGCUCAUUAAAUCAGUUAUCAAAUACGUGAUGGUCGCCUACUACAUGGAUAACCUUGGUAAUUCUAAAGCUAAUACAUGCGCAAAAGCCUGACUUAUUGGAAAGGCUGCGUUUAUUAGAUACAGAACCAACCCAGGUUCGCCUGGACUCUGGCGAGUCAUGAUAACCGAGCGAAUGGCAUGGCAUCAGCUGGCGAUGUACCAUUCAAGUUUCUGACCUAUCAGCUUCCGACGGUAGGGUAUUGGCCUACCGUGGCAAUGACGGGUAGCGGAGAAUUAGGGUUCGAUUCCGGAGAGGGAGCCUGAGAAACGGCUACCACAUCUAAGGAAGGCAGCAGG
rnacentral:rRNA from 1 species